rnacentral:rRNA from 1 species
AUUGAACGCUGGCGGCAGGCCUAACACAUGCAAGUCGAACGGUAACAGGAAGCAGCUUGCUGCUUUUCUGACGAGUGGCGGACGGGUGAGGAAUGUCUGGGAAACUGCCUGAUGGAGGGGGAUAACUACUGGAAACGGUAGCUAAUACCGCAUAACGUCGCAAGACCAAAAAGGGGGACCUUCGGGCCUCUUGCCAUCGGAUGUGCCCAGAUGGGAUUAGCUAGUAGGUGGGGUAACGGCUCACCUAGGCGACGAUCCCUAGCUGGUCUGAGAGGAUGACCAGCCACACUGGAACUGAGACACGGUCCAGACUCCUACGGGAGGCAGCAGUGGGGAAUAUUGCACAAUGGGCGCAAGCCUGAUGCAGCCAUGCCGCGUGUAUGAAGAAGGCCUUCGGGUUGUAAAGUACUUUCAGCGGGGAGGAAGGGAGUAAAGUUAAUACCUUUGCUCAUUGACGUUACCCGCAGAAGAAGCACCGGCUAACUCCGUG